rnacentral:rRNA from 1 species
GACGAACGCUGGCGGCGUGCUUAACACAUGCAAGUCGAACGGAAAGGCCCUGCUUUUGUGGGGUGCUCGAGGGGCGAACGGGUGAGUAACAGGAGAGUAACCUGCCCUUGACUUUGGGAUAACUUCAGGAAACUGGGGCUAAUACCGGAAAGGAGCUCCUGCUGCAUGGUGGGGGUUGGAAAGUUUCGGCGUUUGGGGAUGGACUCGCGGCUCAUCAGCUUGUUGGUGGGGUAGUGGCUUACCAAGGCUUUGACGGGUAGCCGGCCUGAGAGGGUGACCGGCCACAUUGGGUCUGAGAUACGGCCCGGCCUCCUACGGGCGGCAGCAGUGGGGAAUAUUGCACAAUGGGCGGAAGCCUGAUGCAGCAACGCCGCGUGCGUGAUGACGGCCUUCGGGUUGUAUACCGCUUUCGCCUGUGACGAAGCGUGAGUGACGGUACUGGGUAAAGAAGCACCGGCUAACUACGUG